rnacentral:rRNA from 1 species
UACGGAGGGAGCUAGCGUUGUUCGGAAUUACUGGGCGUAAAGCGCACGUAGGCGGCUUUGUAAGUUAGAGGUGAAAGCCCGGGGCUCAACCCCGGAAUUGCCUUUAAGACUGCAUCGCUUGAAUCCGGGAGAGGUGAGUGGAAUUCCGGGUGUAGCGGUGGAAUGCGUAGAGAUCCGGAAGAACACCGGAGGCGAAGGCGGCUUGCUGGGCUCGGUCUGACGCUGAGGCGCGAAAGCGUGGGGAGCGAACAGG